CUUCAAAGAAAAUGUGUGUUGACUCCUUCCUAUCGCCAUUCCUUCUUAAUGCCUCCCUUCCUCCCUGUUCCAUCUCCACACCUCACUCCCUCUAGAUUAGAUCUAAGAGAAAGUCUUUAGAGAGAGAAAGAAAAAUCAAGAAAGGAUUCUUGAUUCUUUUUGAUGAUUGGGAUCAAUCUCUAGGAUUCAAUAACAGAGCUGCUUCAAGUAAUAUAAAAAAAAGAUCCUGAUUCAAGCCGAGGAAUGAAGCCUGCAAAGAAGCUAGCACUUCGAGGGCUUCGAAGUUCUGAUCGAAAUAUCUUCAUGUGGAUACCAGCAGAGAUCAGAAAUAUGCGCGGCUACGAUAGGAACUCUAAACAUCUACAGGAUCCGAUCUGAGAAAGAACAAGAAAAAAUGAUCAGAGAUGCAGGUUUGGAAAUUUAUAUGCCAGUCCUAUUGUAUCAGUCUUUGAGUUGAUCCAAGCAUCAAUACACAUAGCUCAUCGUCCUUUUCAUGAACCAAAGUAUAUCACCCAAUCAAUACUUAUAUUACUGUUUGUAUAAAGAUUUUAACAUUUUAUUAUUUGAUAAAA